rnacentral:siRNA from 1 species
CAGGUUGCAGAAGCAAAAGC